rnacentral:rRNA from 1 species
GAGGAAUAUUGGUCAAUGGGCGAGAGCCUGAACCAGCCAAGUAGCGUGCAGGAUGACGGCCCUCCGGGUUGUAAACUGCUUUUAGUUGGGAAUAAAAAAAGGGACUUGUCCCUUCUUGUAUGUACCUUCAGAAAAAGGACCGGCUAAUUCCGUGCCAGCAGCCGCGGUAAUACGGAAGGUCCAGGCGUUAUCCGGAUUUAUUGGGUUUAAAGGGAGCGUAGGCGGAUUGUUAAGUCAGCGGUUAAAGGGUGUGGCUCAACCAUGCAUUGCCGUUGAAACUGGCGAUCUUGAGUGCAGACAGGGAUGCCGGAAUUCGUGGUGUAGCGGUGAAAUGCUUAGAUAUCACGAAGAACUCCGAUCGCGAAGGCAGGUGUCCGGACUGCAACUGACGCUGAGGCUCGAAAGUGUGGGUAUCAAACAGGAUUAGAUACCCUGGUAGUCCACACAGUAAACGAUGUAUACUCGCGGUUUGCGAUAGACAGUAAGCCGCCAAGCGAAAGCAUUAAGUAUACCACCUGGGGAGUACGCCGGCAACGGUG